rnacentral:rRNA from 1 species
AAACGACUCUCGGCAACGGAUAUCCCGGCUCUCGCAUCGAUGAAGAACGUAGCGAUACUUGGUGUGAAUUGCAGAAUCCCGUGAACCAUCGAGUCUUUGAACGCAAGUUGCGCCCGAAGCCAUUAGGCUGAGGGCACGUCUGCCUGGGUGUCACGCAUCGC